GGGCCCAUAGCUCAAUGGUUAGAGCAGUCGACUCAUAAUCGAUUGGUUGGGGGUUCGAGUCCCUCUGGGCCCA
rnacentral:tRNA from 1 species